rnacentral:rRNA from 1 species
GACGAAGGAUGCAAGCGUUAUCCGGAUUCAUUGGGUUUAAAGGGAGCGUAGGCGGCCUGGUAAGUCAGUGGUGAAAUCUCGCAGCUUAACUGCGAAACUGCCAUUGAUACUGCUAGGCUAGAGUACAGAUGCUGUGGGCGGAAUAUGACAUGUAGUGGUGAAAUACAUAGAGAUGUCAUAGAACACCGAUUGCGAAGGCAGCUCACAAAACUGUAACUGACGCUGAGGCUCGAAAGUGUGGGGAUCAAACAGG